CCUUUGUACACACCGCCCGUCGCUACUACCGAUUGAAUGGCUCAGUGAGGCGUUCGGACUGGCUCGGGGAGGUUGGCAACGACCACCCCAAGCCGGAAAGUUCGUCAAACUCGGUCAUUUAGAGGAAGUAAAAGUCGUAACAAGGUCUCCGUAGGUGAACCUGCGGAGGGAUCAUUACACAACAAAAUAUGAAGGCCUGGCUUCGCGGCCGGCUGAAAUAUUUUUUCACCCAUGUCUUUUGCGCACUUGUUGUUUCCUGGGCGGGUUCGCCCGCCACCAGGACCAAACCAUAAACCUUUUUUUAUGCAGUUGCAAUCAGCGUCAGUAAAAACAAUGUAAUUAUUACAACUUUCAACAACGGAUCUCUUGGUUCUGGCAUCGAUGAAGAACGCAGCGAAAUGCGAUACGUAGUGUGAAUUGCAGAAUUCAGUGAAUCAUCGAAUCUUUGAACGCACAUUGCGCCCUUUGGUAUUCCAAAGGGCAUGCCUGUUCGAGCGUCAUUUGUACCUUCAAGCUUUGCUUGGUGUUGGGCGUUUUUGUCUCCCUCUUUCUGGGAGACUCGCCUUAAAACGAUUGGCAGCCGGCCUACUGGUUUCGGAGCGCAGCACAUAUUUUGCGCUUUGUAUCAGGAGAAAAGGACGGUAAUCCAUCAAGACUCUACAUUUUUAACUUUUGACCUCGGAUCAGGUAGGGAUACCCGCUGAACUUAAGCAUAUCA
rnacentral:rRNA from 1 species